UCUGAAUUCUAAUGUUGUACUUGAUUAUACUGCAGCAAUCUUGUCAUAGGUGGAUUCUCUGGAGAAAACAAUUAAUGCAAUAAAUGAUGAUUUAACAAAUAAAAGAGGUCUACUGUGGAAGGGAGAGGAGGAUAUUAAAACAAUGCAACUUAAUUACGAGGAACAGCUUAGUGUUAUGAGUGACCACUUGGCAGAAAUGAAUAAUAAGCUUGCUUCACAAGAAGAUACUAUUAUUCAUCUUAGGCAAGAAUGUGAUCUAUCUGAAAA